UACAGAGGGUGCGAGCGUUAAUCGGAAUUACUGGGCGUAAAGCGCACGUAGGCGGCUUUGCAAGUCGGUUGUGAAAUCCCCGGGCUCAACCUGGAAACUGCACCCGAGACUGCAUUGCUAGGGUACGGUAGAGGGAAGCGGAAUUGCCGGUGUAGCGGUGAAAUGCGUAGAUAUCGGAAGGAACACCAGUGGCGAAAGCGGCUGCCUGGACCAGUACCGACGUUCAGGCACGAAAGCGUGGGGAGCAAACAGG
rnacentral:rRNA from 1 species